GAUGAACGCUGGCGGCGUGCCUAAUACAUGCAAGUAGAACGCUGAAGGAGGAGCUUGCUCUUCUGGAUGAGUUGCGAACGGGUGAGUAACGCGUAGGUAACCUGCCUGGUAGCGGGGGAUAACUAUUGGAAACGAUAGCUAAUACCGCAUGACAACAGUUAUUGCAUGAUAACUGUUUAAAAGGGGCAACUGCUCCACUACCAGAUGGACCUGCGUUGUAUUAGCUAGUUGGUGAGGUAACGGCUCACCAAGGCGACGAUACAUAGCCGACCUGAGAGGGUGAUCGGCCACACUGGGACUGAGACACGGCCCAGACUCCUACGGGAGGCAGCAGUAGGGAAUCUUCGGCAAUGGACGGAAGUCUGACCGAGCAACGCCGCGUGAGUGAAGAAGGUUUUCGGAUCGUAAAGCUCUGUUGUAAGAGAAGAACGAGUGUGAGAGUGGAAAGUUCACACUGUGACGGUAUCUUACCAGAAAGGGACGCCUAACUACGUG
rnacentral:rRNA from 1 species